GUGGUGCUUGCUUCCAUCUGUCCAAAGCCUUCCAGCACCGCUGGUCAGCCCAGCUUCCUUGCCAAAGUGGGCACACCCACAGCCAGGGUGUAGGGCUCCUUCCUUGCUCAUUAAAAACCAAUGAGUCUGAAGCCAGCAUCCCAGAGGACGUAGAUCUGACUAGAGCUGAGUCUCUGAACCCAGGAAGAAGAACACUUCAGGAGACAGGAAUCUAAGCUGGUGCCUUUAUCUACAAACCCAGAUGUCCUUUGAUGGUCAGAAAACCUGAUGAGACUGAGGAUUGUGAUGUACAGGAUCUUUAGAGAUGCUUCUUUGGAUGGAGAAGCAGGUUACAGAGGCUGACUUUCUGUCAGUUACGUAAGAGUAUCCAAUGUGAAGUUGAGAAAACUGACUACCAGCUGUGAAGAGGGCCAGAACAGUGAUAGACACACACUGCCCACUACUUCCUUUCCUCUGAACUCAGAGGCUUACUGCUCUGGAGGGCCCUGGGGGGAUGCUAUGGAAUCUCCUAACCCUCUCAGAUGCAAUGAUGAAUGACAUCCAAAGCCAUUACAUCUGGAGAACUAGGACCAUCCUUGCCAACACUGAGAUGGGAGCUUCCAUUCCAUUCCAGCUGCUGCUGCCCUAUUCUUUUCCUCUGGUAUACCUCGUCCUUCGCACAGAAAACCCUGAAGUCAGAUGAGUCACAUGGAUCCUCAUAAGUGGUGAACCAUGACUCACCUUGGAACUAGCUGUAUUCCACCUCACCAAAGAGUAUGGGACAAGGGCCCCAUUUCUUCUUCUCCAAAUGUUCUUAGCGCGGUAAUUCUACCCAAAGAAUUUUUAAGCUGAAAGUCUGAAAGUUCAGCUCCUGCCACACAGCGCACCAAAGCUGCCCAGCGGUUUGAGGACACUGUGUGGGGCCCUAACAGGUUCCAAGCGAAGUGCCAAACUUAUACAGUUCGAAUUCAUUGUGUGUGAAGAUAUGGACUAUUUUGAAGAAAACAAGAGACAUUAUGCUCGAGAGCUUCCCAUCUAUUUCAACAUUCGUGAUUCCCAACAGAUGGUAUGGGUCCUGAGUGGGUAUAUUUCCCCCUGCUUAGGGCUCCCCACACCACACCAUUCCUGGAAUCUAACCUGGCUGUCUCAGAGAGCCUCUGUAGCUGCUGUUAUCUAUCCACCAUGUUCUCCCAGAAGUUUUAAAUUUUAUUUAAAGAAAGACUAAACAAAACAGAAAAUGAGUAGAAAUAAUACAUACUUUCAAAGAAAAAAAUAAACAGUAAGAAAUCACUAGUUGAUGAUUACAGAUUGUCCUCUUACAAAUAGUUAUUCAAGAUAUUAAA